rnacentral:lncRNA from 1 species
CAUUAAAAAAAAUAUUUUGUAACAUUUGCUGUUAGGGGAGGCUCACAAGAGCUGAUUUAUUUCUUUGUUUUGCAGUAUCUAAUAGACUGAAUUUCUGUGUCCUGCCUAUCUAAGUCUGCAACCUGAUUAACUUUCCUCUCGAUCCUUGAAGAACUUCAGUCACCUUUUCCAGGCACGGAGUAUCUUGGUGGACACAAGCCCAUGGGGACUCCAUACUCACAGUCUACCAGCAUUAUGCCCUAAGCCCGCAGCCCCCCACCAUCAGAAGGAGGCUGUUCAAACCUCUUCCCUCCAGGCUGACCAUGGCCCUCUCAGCUUCCUCCACCACUGUUUCUUCAGAUUUACCCCUUGGAUUCUGAUCCCACCACUGUGCCCCAUCAGACAUGGAAA